rnacentral:lncRNA from 1 species
GAGACUUUUGAUGGAAUUAGGUUCAGCUGGUUCUUUCAGAAGACUCUGCUCUCUAAGGGGGGAGGGGUCAUGGCCUCCCUGGGCUCUGAGGGCUCCUGAUGGGAUUAAGUUCAGCUGGUUUGGACUGAAUGAGCCCUAAAGCAAAAAACCUCCUCCUCCACAAUCUGUGUUGAAUGCCCAGAGACUGGCCCAGGUUACUUUCAAGGGGGCACCCAUACCCACGACGUUCCAGAAGCCUGUAGUACUGAAGUAGGACAACCUUGUUCUUCAUCAUCUUCUAUUCUGGCCUUGAGGAUUCAGACAGAAAUGGGAAUAGCAUCAACAGAUGAAAACAAUGUCAAUGGAUGUAGGUCCCUGUGUGUAGUUUUGGCCGAUUUCACUUUGAAUCAGUUCACGUCUGCCAGUGCCUCUCUGAAGACUUCAGAGUUUUCACUUUAAAAAUGUAGCAAACUUCUCUGCUGGAUUUAUACUCCAAGAAGAGCAAAAACUGAAAGGUCUCCAAAACACUAAAAUAUUCAUAACAGGAUUUUAUGUGAU